CUCAGGACGAACGCUGGCGGCGUGCCUAAUACAUGCAAGUCGAACGCACGAAGUUGAAGAGCUUGCUCUUUGACCAAGUGAGUGGCGGACGGGUGAGUAACACGUGGGUAACCUGCCCAUUAGAGGGGGAUAACAUUCGGAAACGGAUGCUAAUACCGCAUAGUUUCAGGAAUCGCAUGAUUCUUGAAGGAAAGGUGGCUUCGGCUACCACUAAUGGAUGGACCCGCGGCGUAUUAGCUAGUUGGUGAGGUAAUGGCUCACCAAGGCAAUGAUACGUAGCCGACCUGAGAGGGUGAUCGGCCACACUGGGACUGAGACACGGCCCAGACUCCUACGGGAGGCAGCAGUAGGGAAUCUUCCGC
rnacentral:rRNA from 1 species